AAAAAUUAUGUUCUUUGCGAUGACUUUGUUUUAGAUGAAUGUCGUGACCUGGCUGAUGAUAUAACAUAUUUGGCAGCUAAAUUCAUACCCCAGAAGAAAGUGGGUCAAGCCUUGUUAGAGGAUGGAAAUGUCCACGAAGGCAUGGCCAAAACAGAGGACUGCAGAAAGACCCUAAAAGCUGUGGAAAAAGCUUUGGAGACGAACUGGCAUACAUUUGACCUGGCAACUCACGGUCUUGGGCCUGCAGUUAUAAAAGGCACUUUUGAAUUAAUUGAUGCAUGUCUUAAAGAGAAAAUGAAAGCAUUACAAUCAUGAAUUAGAACCAAUUUCAACUGUUUUGUCUGCUUACAUUAUGUUCAUAGUUAUAUACACUAGCUUCAUGCUUGAAACCUUGUUAUAUGCCUACUAACUACAAUAUGUGUUGGUUACUUUGUUGCUAAAAAUACAUUUGGGAUUGUUUUUUUUUACUUUAUGUACGUAUUUUAGUUUUUGAAUAUUGUUUUUGUGUGUACAAUGUAAUUGUAAAUAAAGAUUUACAAUCCUUUUUA